UACGGAGGGUGCGAGCGUUGUCCGGAAUCACUGGGCGUAAAGGGCGCGUAGGCGGCAUGCCAAGCGUGUGGUGAAAGCCCGGGGCUCAACCCCGGGUCGCCGUGCGGACUGGCGUGCUCGAGCACUGUAGGGGCGGGUGGAAUUCCGGGUGUAGCGGUGGAAUGCGUAGAGAGUCCGGAAGAACACCGGUGGCGAAGGCGGCCCGCUGGGCAGGAAGGCUCGCAAGAGCCGGCUGACGCUGAGGCGCGACAGCGUGGGGAGCAAACAGG
rnacentral:rRNA from 1 species